rnacentral:rRNA from 1 species
CCUGUCUCAGUUCGGAUUGGAGUCUGCAACCCGACUCCAUGAAGCUGGAUUCGCUAGUAAUCGCGCAUCAGCCACGGCGCGGUGAAUACGUUCCCGGGCCUUGUACACACCGCCCGUCAAGCCAUGGGAGCCGGGAGUGCCUGAAGUACGUGAGCGCAAGCAGCGUCCUAAGGCAAAACCGGUGACUGGGGCUAAGUCGUAACAAGGU